GCUCCGGUAGCCUAGUGGUUAGAGUGACGGUCUCAGAUGCAGGAGGUCAUGGGUCUGAACCCCUGCUGAGUCA